ACGGAAUGUGCAAACGUUAUUCGGAAUCACUGGGCUUAAAGAGUCCGUAGGCGGCUUGUUAGGUGAGGUGUGAAAUCCCCCGGCUCAACCGAGGAAUUGCGCUUCAAACCGGCGAGCUUGAGGAAGGUAGAGGUGGGCGGAACUGAUGGUGGAGCGGUGAAAUGCGUUGAUAUCAUCAGGAACACCGGAGGCGAAGGCGGCCCACUGGGUCUUUUCUGACGCUGAGGGACGAAAGCUAGGGUAGCGAACGGGA
rnacentral:rRNA from 1 species